rnacentral:rRNA from 1 species
UACAGAGGUCUCAAGCGUUGUUCGGAUUCAUUGGGCGUAAAGGGUGCGUAGGCGGCGCGGUAAGUCGGGUGUGAAAAUCUCGGAGCUUAACUCCGAAACUGCAUUCGAUACUGCCGUGCUUGAGGACUGGAGAGGAGACUGGAAUUUACGGUGUAGCGGUGAAAUGCGUAGAUAUCGUAAGGAAGACCAGUGGCGAAGGCGGGUCUCUGGACAGUUCCUGACGCUGAGGCACGAAGGUCAGGGGAGCAAAACGGGG